UAGCUUCUAUAUAAACUGAAGUCUAAAAGUCUGAAAAACACAACUUACAACAUUAAAACCAUAAUUAAUUAAAAGGGUUUGGAAGAAUUGAGAAGAAUGGCCAAGUUUACUAAAAUCAGCUUUGCUCUAAUUUUUGCACUCAUUCUCAUUAUGAUGUUUAUCGCUGAAAGUCGACCAACACCUACAGUCCCAAGAUGUGACACAAUUCAUGCUGUGGCAGAAGCUGAAACUUGCUCCAGCAUCUUUCAGAAGUUCAACCUACUUGAAGCACACUUCCUUGAGAUCAAUCCUAACAUUAACUGCGUUGGCAUAUUUGUGGGCCAAUGGGUGUGUGUUGAGGGUGAAGUGAAUUGAGUUGUACCUGCUAUCAAACUUAAUUAGAUAUAAGUCUAAUGGAAUAUAUGUGCAAUAAGGAGAGAAACCAACCUUUCUCCAUACUUAUCUAUAUGAUAUGUAAUAUGUUCUAAUGAAUGAAUGUGAAUGAAAUUACGUACUCCA